AUUGAACGCUGGCGGCAGGCCUAACACAUGCAAGUCGAACGAGUGGCGGACGGGUGAGUAAUGUCUGGGAAACUGCCCGAUGGAGGGGGAUAACUUCUGGAAACGGUAGCUAAUACCGCAUACCAUCGGAUGUGCCCAGAUGGGCUUAGCUUGUCGGUAAGGUACCGGCUCACCUAGGCGACGAUCCCUAGCUGGUCUGAGAGGAUGAACAGCCACACUGGAACGGAGACACGGUCCAGACUCCUACGGGAGGCAGCAGUGGGGAAUAUUGGACAAUGGGCGAAAGCCUGAUCCAGCCAUGCCGCGUGUGUGAAGAAGGUCGUCGGAUUGUAAAGCACUUUAAGUUGGGAGGCGUUACCAACAGAAUAAGCACCGGCUAACUUCGUGCCAGCAGCCGCGGUAAUAC
rnacentral:rRNA from 1 species